UACGUAGGGAGCAAGCGUUGUCCGGAAUCAUUGGGCGUAAAGCGCACGUAGGCGGAUUUGUAAGCCAGAUGUGAAAUCCCCGGGCUUAACCUGGGAAUGGCAUUUGGGACUGCAAGGCUCGAGUGCGGCAGAGGAGACUGGAAUUCCUGGUGUAGCGGUGAAAUGCGCAGAUAUCAGGAGGAACACCAAUGGCGAAGGCAGCUCACUGGGACGAUACUGACGCUGAGACGCGAAAGCGUGGGGAGCAAACAGG
rnacentral:rRNA from 1 species